rnacentral:tRNA from 1 species
UGGUGAAGUGGCUGAAGAUUUAGGCGGUAGAUUGUAAAUUUAUUUAUGGGUUGACACCCCUUCAUUAG